CUGGAGGAACGUCCGGACUGCGCAGGGCAGCGUAGGAGGUAACACCUCUCCACCGCGAGGUGAGGAUCAGAGCAACAGAGACGAGUCGCGGCGGGCAACCGCCGCGGGUGAAACGGGCAAUCUCUACGCGCAGCAAUACCAAGUAGGCACACGUUGAUCCGGUCCCGGAGAGUGUGCGGGUAGGUAGCACCGAGCCGCCUGGCGACAGGCGGCCCAGAGUAAUGGCGGUCACGUUGGGGGCGACUCCAACGCCACAGAAUCCGGCUUACCGGCGGACUUCACAC
rnacentral:RNase_P_RNA from 1 species